GACGAACGCUGGCGGCGUGCUUAACACAUGCAAGUCGAACGGAAAGGCCCUGCUUUUGUGGGGUGCUCGAGUGGCGAACGGGUGAGUAACACGUGAGUAACCUGCCCUUGACUUUGGGAUAACUUCAGGAAACUGGGGCUAAUACCGGAUAGGAGCUCCUGCUGCAUGGUGGGGGUUGGAACGUUUCGGCGGUUGGGGAUGGACUCGCGGCUUAUCAGCUUGUUGGUGGGGUAGUGGCUUACCCAGGCUUUGACGGGUAGCCGGCCUGAGAGGGUGACCGGCCACAUUGCGACUGAGAUACGGCCCAGACUCCUACGGGAGGCAGCAGUGGGGAAUAUUGCACAACGGGCGGAAGCCUGAUGCAGCAACGCCGCGUGCGUGAUGACGGCCUUCGGGUUGUAAACCGCUUUCGCCUGUGACGAAGCGUGAGUGACGGUAAUGGGUAAAGAAGCACCGGCUAACUACGUG
rnacentral:rRNA from 1 species